CAAUCACUGCACACAUCUUCUGCUGCUGGGUGAGCCCUCUGAUUACUACUUCUCACUCACUGGUCUAAUGGGCAAGGUGAAUCUACAGCACAAUGGAUAAGGACAAUACUACGAAAUCAAGGACAGAGCCCCUGUCCUCCACACUCCAGGAUUACCAAGCUGAAAAAAAACCGUAGCCUCACCAGGAUCAAGCGGCCAUGCUCGCCUGCGAGGACCUCCAGCCUCCCUCGCCUUGCACCCCGCACCUCCCAGAGACUCCCGGGCGGCGCGCGCAGGCAGUGGUGCCCGCCCAGGCACCGGCUCUUCCCAGCAGGGCACCGCGUCCCGCCCUGGCCGCCUGACCCAGGAGCAGCUCGUGCGCUCGGCGGCCUCGCGACCUGUGCGGCCUCCGAUCCUCUGCUAAUGCGUAUCGAAUUUUUGUUGAAUGCGGCCCCGGGCCCGCGCAGAGAGCGCGGCGGCGACGCUGCCAGAGCCUCUUAAUUCCCUUUGCAUCGAUCCCGCCGUUAAUGACCUAACCUUCUCCCCUAAUUAACUGACAACUGCAUUAGGCGGCGCGCCUCCCCGCACGCAGCCUGCGGCUUCCCCACCGCGGUUCUGCCCGCGCCGAGGAGCCCGCGCCGAGGAGCCGCGCCAGCGGUGGGAGUGGGGGCGGCCGUUACCGCCCUGACUAAACCCAGAGCCCUGCCACUGGGGUCCGACGUGGGGGGUCGUAUUUCAGGUUUUGGAUGCGCCUUCGGUCCUGAUCCGUCACUAAACGUUUGCUGCCGUUGUUUAUGCUGUUGUUGCUUAGUUUGUGCCAACACUGGGCAGAACAUUUAACAUGCUUUAAGCUUACUGAUUCAUUACAACGACCCAAGAGGCGGAUGGAGGAAACUGGGCUCACAAGUGGAGGAACACAGCAAUCACCAAGGCUGUGCAGCAAGCGGCUGAGGGAGGUGGGACUCCCACCCUUUCUUACCCGAGUGUGCCCUUACUCGGCAUCCAAGAAGGAAGCUCAGGAGAUACUCCAAGGCCAGGAAAGAAGCCACAAAAGAAGCAAGCCCUGACUUCAGUGUAAAAGACUUGAAAACAGUACCUGAAUCAGUACUCCAGAAUCUCCUGCAUCCAGCACAGUGCCUUGCUGAGCCAGCACUCAUCAGAUGCUUAAGG